UACGUAGGGUGCAAGCGUUAAUCGGAAUUACUGGGCGUAAAGCGUGCGCAGGCGGUUUUGUAAGUCUGUCGUGAAAUCCCCGGGCUCAACCUGGGAAUUGCGAUGGAGACUGCAAGGCUAGAAUCUGGCAGAGGGGGGUAGAAUUCCACGUGUAGCAGUGAAAUGCGUAGAGAUGUGGAGGAACACUGAUGGCGAAGGCAGCCCCCUGGGUCAAGAUUGACGCUCAUGCACGAAAGCGUGGAGAGCAAACAGG
rnacentral:rRNA from 1 species